GCCAGCAUGGCACAAAGGUUUGAGUGUUAGACUAUGACUCUAAAGAUCAGAGUUUGAAUCCCAGCUCAGCCA